GAGCACGUAGGUGGGUUUGUAAGUCAGAGGUGAAAGCCCCCGGCCCAACCGGGGAACGGCCUCUGAAACUGCGGACCUUGAGUGAAGCAGAGGGGAGUGGAACUCUCGGUGGAGCGGUGAAAUGCGUUGAUAUCGAGGGGAACACCAGCGGCGAAGGCGACUCCCUAUGCUUCUACUGACGCUGAGGUGCGAAAGCCAGGGGAGCGAACGGGAUUAGAUACCCCGGCAGUCCUGGCCCUAAACGGUGGGCACUAAGUAGAGGGG
rnacentral:rRNA from 1 species